GACGAACGCUGGCGGCGUGCCUAAUACAUGCAAGUCGAGCGGACAGAAGGGAGCUUGCUCCCGGAAGUUAGCGGCGGACGGGUGAGUAACACGUGGGCAACCUACCCUGUAGAUCGGGAUAACAUCGAGAAAUCGGUGCUAAUACCGGAUAAUCAUUUGAAGUGCAUGCUUCGAAUGUAAAAGAUGGCUCCGGCUAUCACUACGGGAUGGGCCCGCGGCGCAUUAGCUAGUUGGUAAGGUAAUGGCUUACCAAGGCAACGAUGCGUAGCCGACCUGAGAGGGUGAUCGGCCACACUGGGACUGGAACACGGCCCAGACUCCUACGGGAGGCAGCAGUAGGGAAUCUUCCGCAAUGGACGAAAGUCUGACGGAGCAACGCCGCGUGAGUGAUGAAGGUUUUCGGAUCGUAAAGCUCUGUUGUUAGGGAAGAACAAGUGCCGUUUGAAUAAGGCGGCACCUUGACGGUACCUAACCAGAAAGCCACGGCUAACUACGUGCCAGCCGCCGCGGUAAGAC
rnacentral:rRNA from 1 species